rnacentral:rRNA from 1 species
UACGGAAGGCAGCAGUGGGGAAUAUUGCACAAUGGGCGAAAGCCCUGAUGCAGCUAUGCCGCGUGUAUGAAGAAGGCCUUAGGGUUGUAAAGUACUUUCAUCGGGGAGGAAAAAACAAAACUAAUAAUUUUAUUUCUUGACGUUACCCGAAAAAGAAGCACCGGCUAACUCCGUGCCAGCAGCCGCGGUAAUACGGAGGGUGCUUAGCGUUAAUCAGAAUUACUGGGCGUUAAAGAGCACGUAGGUGGUUUUUUUAAAGUCAGAUGUGAAAUUCCCUGGGCUUAACCUAGGAACUGCAUUUUGAAACUGAAAUACUAGAGUAUCGUAGAGGGAGGUAGAAUUCUAGGUGUAGCGGUUGAAAUGCGUAGAUAUCUGGAGGAAUACCUGUGGCGAAAGCGGCCUCCUAAACGAAUACUGACACUGAGGGUGCGAAAGCGUGGGGAGCAAACAGGGAUUAGAUACCCGU